ACAGCAGCCGCCACGGUAAUACGUAGGUGGCAAGCGUUGUCCGGAAUUAUUGGGCGUAAAGCGCGCGCAGGUGGUUUAAUAAGUCUGAUGUGAAAGCCCACGGCUCAACCGUGGAGGGUCAUUGGAAACUGUUAAACUUGAGUGCAGGAGAGAAAAGUGGAAUUCCUAGUGUAGCGGUGAAAUGCGUAGAGAUUAGGAGGAACACCAGUGGCGAAGGCGGCUUUUUGGCCUGUAACUGACACUGAGGCGCGAAAGCGUGGGGAGCAAACAGGAUUAGAUACCCCUGUAGUCCCUGUCUCUUAUAA
rnacentral:rRNA from 1 species